GAUGAACGCUGGCGGCGUGCUUAACACAUGCAAGUCGAACGGAAAGGCCCAAGCUUGCUUGGGUGCUCGAGUGGCGAACGGGUGAGUAACACGUGGGUGAUCUGCCCUGCACUUUGGGAUAAGCCUGGGAAACUGGGUCUAAUACCGGAUAGGACUAUCGUUUAGUGUCGGUGGUGGAAAGUUUUUCGGUGUGGGAUGAGCUCGCGGCCUAUCAGCUUGUUGGUGGGGUAAUGGCCUACCAAGGCGUCGACGGGUAGCCGGCCUGAGAGGGGGUACGGCCACAUUGGGACUGAGAUACGGCCCAGACUCCGACGGGAGGCAGCAGUGGGGAAUAUUGCACAAUGGGCGCAAGCCUGAUGCAGCGACGCCGCGUGGAGGAUGACGGCCUUCGGGUUGUAAACUCCUUUCGCCAAGGACGAAGCGUUUUGUGACGGUACUUGGAGAAGAAGCACCGGCUAACUACGUG
rnacentral:rRNA from 1 species